GACGUAGGGGGCAAGCGUUAUUCGGAAUUAUUGGGCGUAAAGAGCGUGUAGGCGGCCUGAAAGGUCAGCUGUGAAAACUCGAGGCUCAACCUCGAGACGUCGGUUGAAACCAUCUGGCUAGAGUCCGGAAGAGGAGUGUGGAAUUCCCGGUGUAGCGGUGAAAUGCGCAGAUAUCGGGAAGAACACCCGUGGCGAAGGCGGCACUCUGGGACGGUACUGACGCUGAGACGCGAAAGCGUGGGGAGCGAACAGG
rnacentral:rRNA from 1 species